rnacentral:tRNA from 1 species
GCACCCAUAGUUCAAUUGGAUAGAGCGUCUGACUACGGAUCAGAAGGUUAGGGGUUCAAAUCCUCUUGGGUGUGCCA